rnacentral:rRNA from 1 species
GAUGAACGCUGGCGGCGUGCCUAAUACAUGCCAGUCGAGCGAACAGAUAAGGAGCUUACUCCUUUGACGUUAGCGGCGGACGGGUGAGUAACACGUGGGUAACCUACCUAUAAGACUGGAAUAACUCCGGGAAACCGGGGCUAAUGCCGGAUAAAAUUUAGAACCGCAUGGUUCUAAAGUGAAAGAUGGUUUUGCUAUCACUUAUAGAUGGACCCGCGCCGUAUUAGCUAGUUGGUAAGGUAACGGCUUACCAAGGCAACGAUACGUAGCCGACCUGAGAGGGUGAUCGGCCACACUGGAACUGAGACACGGUCCAGACUCCUACGGGAGGCAGCAGUAGGGAAUCUUCCGCAAUGGGCGAAAGCCUGACGGAGCAACGCCGCGUGAGUGAUGAAGGUCUUCGGAUCGUAAAACUCUGUUAUUAGGGAAGAACAAAUGUGUAAGUAACUGUGCACGUCUUGACGGUACCUAAUCAGAAAGCCACGGCCAACUACGUG